UAUACAUCAAAGACCUUUAAAAGGCAUGGUGAAGAGAUGGCAAAGGAACAUUUAGCAACAGGUCAUUGAAAUCCUAUUGGAUCUUUUGUGUCUAAAUAGAUCAAAUUGCAGAAUUUAGCAUAUGAAUAACAGGAUACUGUUCUUAUAUACCUGCAGGAAAAGUAUGCUUUUUUGGGGGGGAAGAAAAAGAUAAAUCAUAAUGAAUUAUAUCCCAUUAAGAUGCUCUACAGUAAACACUAAUUUGAAUGUAAUAAAGGCCAUGGGCCUCUCUAUGAAAUUUGGACUUAAACUUUCUUAUUCUAGGGAAUAAAACAUUCUGGAUCAAAUAUUAUCUGUUCUAACCUUAAAUCAUAGCUGAAGUAGACUAAGUGAAUGUUUAGCAUUGAGUGUUUUCUGAAUUCCUCCUAAUGAUUUAUAG
rnacentral:lncRNA from 1 species